rnacentral:lncRNA from 1 species
UUCAGGGCUGUCAGACUCCACUGAAAAGCAUCCAGACCUUCAUCCACAGGAAGGUGACCUUGUGUGUUAUCCAACA